rnacentral:rRNA from 1 species
CCAAUAGCGUAUAUUAAAGUUGUUGCAGUUAAAAAGCUCGUAGUUGAAUUUCGGGGUCAGCAGGUUGGUCGUGCCAACGGUAUGCACUGGCCUCGCUGAUUCCUCCCUCUUGUAGAACCGUAAUGCCAUUAAGUUGGUGUUGCGGGGAAACAGGACUGUUACUUUGAAAAAAUUAGAGUGUUUAAAGCAGGCUAACGCUUGAAUACAUUAGCAUGGAAUAAUGAAAUAGGACGAUCGAUCCUAUUUUGUUGGUUUCUAGGAUUGACGUAAUGAUUAAUAGGGAUAGUUGGGGGCAUUAGUAUUCAAUUGUCAGAGGUGAAAUUCUUGGAUUUAUUGAAGACUGACUACUGCGAAAGCAUUUGCCAAGGAUGUUUUCAUUAAUCAAGAACGAAAGUUAGGGGAUCGAAGACGAUCAGAUACCGUCGUAGUCUUAACCAUAAACUAUGCCGACUAGGGAUCGGAUGAUGUUAAUUUUUUAAUGACUCAUUCGGCGCCUUACG